rnacentral:rRNA from 1 species
GUACGAUGAUCUUGGGGUUUCGGCUCUGGGGGAUUAGUGGCGAACGGGUGAGUAACACGUGAGUAACCUGCCUCACGCUUUGGGAUAACUGCUUGAAAGGGCAGCUAAUACCGGGUAUGACCUUCUGGCGCAUGCUGGAGGGUGGAAAGCCUUCGGGUGGCGUGGGAUGGGCUCGCGGCCUAUCAGCUUGUUGGUGGGGUGAUGGCCUACCAAGGCGGUGACGGGUAGCCGGCCUGAGAGGGCGACCGGCCACACUGGGACUGAGAUACGGCCCAGACUCCUACGGGAGGCAGCAGUGGGGAAUAUUGCGCAAUGGGCGAAAGCCUGACGCAGCGACGCCGCGUGGGGGAUGGAGGCCUUCGGGUUGUGAACCCCUUUCGCUGGGGGAGAAGCUCAUGCUUUUUGGUGUGGGUGACGGUACCUGGUAAAGAAGCGCCGGCUAACUACGUGCCAGCAGCCGCGGUAAUACGUAGGGCGCGAGCGUUGUCCGGAAUUAUUGGGCGUAAAGGGCUCGUAGGCGGCUGGUCGCGUCUGUCGUGAAAUCCUCUGGCUCAACUGGGGGCUUGCGGUGGGUACGGGCUGGCUUGAGUGCGGUAGGGGAGAUUGGAACUCCUGGUGUAGCGGUGGAAUGCGCAGAUAUCAGGAAGAACACCGAUGGCGAAGGCAGGUCUCUGGGCCGUCACUGACGCUGAUGAGCGAGAGCGUGUGGAGCGAACAGGAUUAGAUACCCUGGUAGUCCACGCCGUAAACGUUGGGCACUAUGUGUGGGGUUUGUCUUUAUGGCUGGUUCCGCGCCGUAGCUAACGCAUUAAGUGCCCCGCCUGGGGAGUACGGCCGCAAGGCUAAAACUCAAAGGAAUUGACGGGGCCCCGCACAAGCGGCGGAGCAUGCGGAUUAAUUCGAUGCAACGCGAAGAACCUUACCAGUGAUCAGAUCGGGAAUCG